ACAGCCAACAGUCCCAACAGCACCUACACCAGUGAGGCAAGGACCCUGAUCUCAAGGUACAGUACCUGUGUAUGGUAACUGUUAAGUCACAGCCUGAACCACUGAUGGAACACCUGGGGAAAGGACCCGGUCAGCCCUGGGAGAAGAGGGGAAGACAAUUCAUCUGUGUGACUGGAAGGGAUGGAGCCUGGCUGCACCUCUCUUAGACCUCAUUGAAGGGGUGUGUGCUGACUACCACUGGGGAAGGAUCCCUUUCUGGAGGUCCCUCCUUGGUGAAGCUUUCCCCUGCAAAUCUGGAAUCUUCUGAUAUGGGAAACAACAGCAGUCGGACAAGAAGUCUGAGGUACUAACAAUAAUCUGAAGAAAGCUGAGAAACUUUCCACAAAGAUAUUAAGUACUUUAGAAGAGCAAGAAGAAAUAGAGAACAACCGACAAGAACAAUCAACUGCACAAAGACAGAAUGGGAACCAUCUGCUUAGCUAACAGCCAUAACAAAAAAGUAGAUUUAUUGUUAAUGGUAAACCAAAAAAUACUGAGAUGUUUCAACCUCAUCUAUUAUGUGAUUCUGUGAAAAAGGAUAGUAGUUUCCAAGCAUAUAAGAAACAGCCACAAAGAAGCAGGAUAGUAAUUUGUGCUUCAUGUCUGAUGUGGAGAGGACAAGAAAUGAACUUAAAUGGCAAGCUCAGGAGACUUUAGUUAACAUUAGGAAAACAUUUUAAUGGCAAGAAUAGUGAGUUAAUUGAAUGAAAGAAUGGGCUGUAGAAUCUCAUAACUGAGAUGAGAUCAUAUGUAAGAGCACACUGGAUAAACUUGGAACUAUUUAAAUAUAAUUGAGACUAAGUCAGAGCAAGAAAACGGACUGGAUGUUUUCUUAGGUCUCUUUGAGCCUAUGAUCUAUGACACUACAAUCCUCUUAAUCUCCCUCUCUGGGAUCACUACUUAUAUUUACUUAUCAAGCUCCAUCUUUAAAUAAUUUAGGUUCCUUGUAAUCCUUGUCCUAUUUGAAAGGUCAUGCCAGAGUUCAGCUACUAUUCCUUUGAUGUCAGAAAUAUUGUUCUAGUUUACAAUCCAAAUUCAGAACCAAUUAAUAUCCAUUUGAUAUUAUAGAAAAUUCUUCCUCCCUUGUACUAAUUCCCAAAUGCUUUUCACAAAUAGCAGUACAUUCUCUCUCUGUCUUAAUUUAACAACGCCAUCUAUCUCAGACACUAGAGCUAGACGAGCUAUGGAAGUACAAAGUUCUUUGCAAGCAAAUUUACUUCCCUACAAGUUCAGUGACAUGACUGCUACAUAGCCUCUGGAAGACGCCCUCGUUUAUUCCAAGCUCAGGUAUCUCUGCUUUCCACUGCAGUUUGUGUUGAGGGCAUAUCUCAUGUUAGAGAAUCCAAAAACAAAAAUAAUGUUCCAUAUUUAAAUAAAUUGGCAAAACCAAAUCUGUCAUUCCCACUGAACUCAUGACACAAAGAAGAUGUAAAGUUCUUCCAAUCAGAAGUCUGAGGGAUUUUUUUUUUUUUUAUGGGGUAUCUGAGGACCAUGAAGUUUAUCUGAAGAAGACAACACAGAUGAGGAAAUGUAUUCCCAUUAACAGGGGUUACAUCAUUACUUCGAAGGUUAAUUAUUGAGAGAACUGAAAAACCAGCCUGAUACAUCUGACCUCUUCCAUGGGAGGACUAGAACAUGCCCCAGAUUCAUCCCCCUUGAGAAACUGAGUGCAAAAGAAACCGUAAACUAUCUUUGCUCUUCUGUCACAAUAAUAGAUAAAUGAAACUUAAUUCUGCCUCAGGGAUAAAUGGGCAUGCUCCAGUGAAUUCAGUGGAAUUGUUCUCAUUAAGUUCACAGUACACUGCUAUCUAUACAGGGAAAUAAACUUUUCUAUCUUCUCAUUCACCUCACUCCAUUAAGAAGCUUGAAGCCAAUGAAUUUAUAUCUCAUGCAUUUUUAAUAAUCUAUUUUAUCUCUGUUCUAGAAAUGAUCUAAAACAACUUGGUCAUACAAGACUUUACACACAUGACCAAAAUUAAAUUAUGCAAGAUAAAAUUUUAUCUUCCCUGUGUUCAAAGUGAAAUAUUUUAUGUCAUACUUCACUAUGUUCUUCUAUCAUGAAGAUAAGAUGCUGUGAAAAUAAGAACAUGAUCUGAUCUUGCACACUGAUGCCUUGCAAGAUAUCUAGAUCCAGCCUUACAGGAUACAGUCAGUACUGGUUUUCAAACAUACACAUGAAGUUUCUGCUGAUUCCUAGGAGCACACUGAAUGCAGCAGAAGGCAGUAUUUGCCUUUGCAGGGAAUGACUCUUCUCAUGACCUCCUUUGUAUAAACACUAUCUGAAGCAAACAAAGUGCCAAUUGCAAAAAUACAGCCUGAGAAGAGAAGCAAGUUCCAAAGCUUGCACUGAACAAUCUCAGGACCUCAUUCUGGAAAUGACUGCUCGGUUGGCUUGUGGGGAUUCAUAUUUAAAUGCUCCAGUUUUAGAAUCUUGUUUCAUAACUGGCUGCCAAUGGUUACUUCCUACAUAUGUCUCCAUCGGGUUGCCAACAUUCCCAUUUGUUUUGAAUUAGAACAAAUACUUAGAAACGCAAGAACAACAGGCUGCUAAACUAAGCCAGACAGUAAUGAGCCAUGAAUCCCCUGGCAAAAGGAAUGAGAAUUUCUAACAUUAAUGCUUAGUAACAGGAAUGAUGCCACUGCUGGCAUCUGUAAGUUAAAGCAUCUUAACAAAGUUGACUUAAAUCCCUAUGGACGAACUUUAAGUUAGUACCUGAGAAGUGUUAGUAAAAAUAUCUUUUACAUUUUUUCAGUGUUUUGUGAUCCAAAUGGCAAUAUGUACACACACGCAGUGUACUGGAAUGUCCUCAGAGCUAGGACACAGUCAGAGGAAAAAGCACACCCAUUUCUCCUGGUACCAUCUAAACACAACAGUCCUGAUGGAUAUUGCACCUGUGUUCAUUCCAGUUAAAUUAUUUAUCCAGAAUUUCCAACAUUUCAACUGUUCAUUUAUGUUCAUUUAAAAGAGGGAGAGGUGCAGUCUAGAGUACCACAGACUGGGGAAAACCAUUUGAGAAAAACUGAAUCAAUUCAUCAUCAUAAUUGGUCUCAAAUAUCUAGAAGAGUAAUCCCCCACAAAAAAUGUCUAGUCAAAGUGACAAUGGCUAUCUGGUAAUAUCAUACUAAACUGCCAGUAAACUUAAUUUUAGCUAAAAUACCUUGAUACUAGAUCAUAAACCUGAGAUUAAUAACCGUGGUGAAUGAGUUGCUAACCUAUAACAAAACUCUAUUACAACAAUCUCUUUUCUGUUCAUUUUUUCCUGAUUUUGUGUGUAAAGGCACACUUUUCAGCCUAAUUAGCCUUCACCAAGUCCUAGAAAAUUAAGAGAAAUAAUAAUACUAAAAAAGUUAACUUUGUCUGCACCCGUCACCCUGACAUAAACAACAUCUCUAGUACUUAAAAGUCAAGCAGACAGCAGAGUGUUAUAGUAAUCUCAACUCCCAGGUCUGCAUACAGGGUCUGAAUAAUAGAUGGAAAGGCAAAUGUAGGGAGGGAGCUGUAGAAAGCAUCUUUGCAGAGCAUGCUUGGAGUGCUGCACAGAUUAGAGAGGAGGAGCUGAGUUAGCACAGUACAGCUGCAGAGAGCUUCCAAAAACAACUAUCCUGCUUCAGGACUCAAGCUAACUCAUCUACUAGCACAAUUCAGGAAAGGCAAGACUAGCUCUGUAUUUUCUCUCCUGGUUCCUGGAGGAGCUGUAGGAAGGUGAAAAAUUUUAACUUGAAAUUUUAUAAAUGAACAAUUCUGCAGGUUUUUUUUUUUUUUUUU